AGGAAGCGGCGCGCGCAGUGGGCGGCGGGAGCCCGGGACUCCGGGCGCAGGUGCACUGGUGCCACUGAAGUGGCACGCAAGGUCAAAGGCGUGUCCCUUUGAGGCCCUCACCAAAAGACUGCCUAGACUCGAAAGAGCCUUGCAGGCUAGGUCUUGACGGAAACAUCUAAACACUGAGCAAUUUGACCUUGGGGCUGUAGGUUUGAAAGGCCAUGGCUGUUCCUGGACUGGAGUGCAGAGGCAGAAUCCAAGAAAGAGCUUGGUCCUUGCCAAGGAUAUAGUGCCUCAGUUCUGAUCCAGCGCACUGUCGGGGAAAGCCCUGCUGGUUAAAAAUUAAAAUCUGGAGUUAGCGACAAUGCCAAACAUUUGAGAGACUCAGCAUCAGAGGAAAUACCCAAGGAAAGACACCAAGGGAGGGUCCUUCCCUCCGGAGGUGAAAGGCUGUGAGAAGGUAUGAAGGAUUGGGAGUGGGGAGGAAGGGUCCCAGAAAGGUGGCCUUGCUCGCCGGAAGUGUAAGUUAGAGGGACAAACGAGGUACAGGAAGUGGGAAGAUGGCUCCUGGGACUCACAAUCAGGCCUGAGCGGUUCAGAGAGCUUCUGAGAAGGAAGGGAGA
ensembl:processed_transcript Gm11529 predicted gene 11529